AUUGUGGUUUUCUACUAUCCAGGUGUUUGGCAGGUUGGAGGAAAGCUUGUAAAUGCUUUGCACAGCUGACCUACUGAGUCUGAGGUGACUGAGAGGGAACCCACAACUAUCUCAUCUGACUUCUGUUGGUCAACACACUCCUCUGAAGGUGCUGCAGAAGAUACAGCCAAGCACAGAUUUUACACUCUGGAAAAGUACCAGAGCUGCUCCUUCUCACCUGCUUGCAUAGGAUUGCAAUUUGCUCACUAAUUGAGGAGUUCUUGGUAGCUGGAAAACACAGCUACAACCUGGCAUCAAUCUUCUCUUGAUAGAAGUCAGUGGUGGCUAUGGGCUAUUCUGACAUUUGACUGCCUGUCACCCAGCAUUGGCAUCCAGCCUUACUAACCCUGCCAGAGCUGCAGCUACUUUCAGUGAAGGAGAUUUUGAAGCAGGAAUAUUGACAAGUCAUACAAGACUGGCCUAAGCCAUGAAAUGAUGGCAUUGACAACAUCCUGGUUGAGUGCUACAGAAGUGCUUAGAACAUACAUUUUUAAUAUCUCCUUAAGAGUAAAAUAUAAGCCCCAGAAAUUGUUUUCGACAAAUUUGGGAAUAUGUGCUGAUAUCUCAGGAUCAAUUUUUGGUGUGUAUAGAGAGGUGAUAAACUGGAAAGUGGUCAGUUUAGCUGGAAUGCCAUAAGCAUAUUCAUGAAACUAAGGAGCCAGAUUCUGUCAUUGAGG